rnacentral:lncRNA from 1 species
AAGUAAAAUUUUAUUGGAACACAGUGAUAUCUUUUUGUUUACAAAUUGUCUGUGGCUGCUUUCAUGCUGCAAAAGCAGAAUUUAGUAGUUAUGACAGUGACUGUAUGGCCCAAGGUAGUUCCCAACUGACCCUUGACAAGAAAGUUUGACAUCCUUUAAACUAUUACUUUACUGCUUGGACACGUUGAACAAGUCCUUUAUGAGACACUCUCUUCAGCUCUAAAGCAGAAUUAAUGGCACCAGCCUUGUGAGAAAGUAGUAUCUUGUAUGUGAAAAUUGUGUGGAAACUAAAAUGGUCUACUGUGUAGCAUCAGUUGCUUUUUCUCCAACAUGCUAUUAAGAGAAUUUGCAAAUGUAUUUUAAAAAGUUAAGUAUACAAUGAAUACUUAUUUUACCCACCACCUGGAGUCUAAUACUUAACAUUUUGCUGUAUUUGUUUUAUUAUCCAUAUAUCCAUCUGCCAAUCUCUCUAUCCACCCAUUAAUCCAUCUUAUUUUUUAGUUAUGCGUUUCAAAGUAAGGUGUUGACAUCAGUACAACUAACUAGAGAUCAAAGUUUAUUUUCGUUAGGUAAGAUGUUCUUACAGUGGAAUGCUCAGCAUGUAAGUGGUGGGUUUUCAUAAGUGAGCCUGGUUGAGAUGUAAAACAUUACUGUCACCCCAGAAAGUUCCCUCAUGCCCCUUUCUCAGUCAAUUCCCACCCCACCAUGCUCCCCGAGGCAACUCCUAUCCUGAUCUUUUUCACUCAGUAUUAUGUCUGAGACUCAGUGUAUUGUUGUGUCUAACAGUAGCUUGUUGCUCUAUGUUGCUGAGUAAUAUUAAUUUUAUGAACACACCAUAGUUUAUUCAUUCACCUGUUGAUGGAUACCUGGUCUUUCUCUGGUUUUUAAUUAUUGUGAAUAAAUCUGCUUUGAACAUUCUGAUACAGAUCUUUUGUGGACACUUGCUUUUUUAAAUCUCUUGCAUAACCAUCUGGGAGUGGAGUGAAGUCAAAAGGUUGUUUUACCAGAAACUGGGAAACCUUUUUUCCAAAGUGGUGGUACAAUUUCACACCCCUACUAACAACAGGUUAGUGUUCUGAUUGUUGCACACUCUUGCCAAAAUUUGAUGGUAUCCAUCUUUUUAAUUUUAGCCUUUCUGGUAGAUGAGAUAGUGGUAUCUCAUGGUGGAUUUAAUUUGUAUUUUCCUGAUGACUAACAAUGAUGAGCAGCUUUUGUGUAUUGGUCAUUUAUACGUAUCUGGCAAAGUUGAAUUACUGUAUAGUAUAAAGCAAGGGUAGAAGUUAUUAUAAUCCAUACAGGUAUGUGGUCACUUUAUUCAGUUUGUUCAAAAGACAUUCUUUUCCUUGUUGAGUUGCUUUGUUCCUUUACUAUAAAUAAAUCAAAAUUAUAAGUGCAGGUCUAUUUUUGUUCCAUUGAUCUACUUGUUUAUGUUAACACCAGUACCAUACUCUCUUAAUUACUGUGAGUUUAUAGUAAAUCUUACAUUCAGGUAGUGUAAGUCAUCCAACUUUAUUUUUAUUUUCAAGAUUACUUUAGAUACUCUAGGUCCUUUACAUUCUCAUACAAAUGGUUCAGUAACUUGUCUAGUUUUUUUAAAAACCUGGUGGAGUUAUGAUAGGGAUUUCAUUGACUCUAUGGAUCUGAGGAAAACUGAUAUUUUAACAAUGUUGGGACUUGACAGUCGAUGAAUGGGGACUAUUUUUAUGUUUAUUUAGGUCUUUAAUUUCUCUCAACAGUGAUUUCAAUGUAGUUUUAAUGUGGAGGUUUUGCAUGUUUUUCAUUAGCUUUAUUCCUAAGUAUUUUAUGGAUUUUGGUGCUUUUAAAUGUGGGAUUUUCUAUCUUAUUUUUUUUUGAAGUUUUAUUUAAAUAUAGUUCAUUUACAAUAUUGUAAUAAUUUCUUCUGUAUAACAAAGUGAUUCAGUUAUUCAUAUGCACACAUCCAUUCUUUUCCAAAUUCUUUUCCCAUAUAGAUUAUCAUAGAAUAUUGGGUAGAAUUCCCUGUGCUAUACAGCAGAUCUCCAUUGGCCAGUCAUUCCAUAUACUACAGUGUACCUAGGCCACUCUAAAAUUUCAUUUUCCAGUUGUUUAUAGCCAGUAUAUAAAAGACAGUUGAUUUUUUGUGUAUUGAUCUUGUAUCCUGAAACCAGGCUAAAUUCAUUAUUCAUUUUAGGAGUUGCUUUGUCAAUUCCUUAAGAUUUUCUAUGUAAAUAAUCAUGUCAUCUGUGAAAAGAAUUAUUUUUACUCUUCCUUUCCAAUCUUUAUGACUUUAUUUCUUUUCUUCCCCUUAUUGUUACACUGGCUAAGAUCUUCUAUAUAAUAUUGAAUAGAAGCAAUAAGUGUGGACAUGCUUACCUUUUCUUUACUCUUAGCCAGAAAGCAUUCAUUAUUUCACCAUUAUGUAUCAUAAUAGCUUUUGUAGGUUUUUCACAGACUUUUAAAAAAUCAUAUUGAGGAAAUUUCCUUCAGUUUCUAAUUUGGUGAGGUUUUUUAAAAAAAUAUCAUAGGUGGGUGGAAUUUUGUUAAAGGGAUUGUCUGCAUUUGUUGAAAUGAUCAUAUAGAGUUUUUUCCUCUAUUAGUUAUUAGGAUAAUUGUUUUUCUUGAAUUUUUUUGAAUAUUAAAUCAAGUUUACAUUCUUGGAAUUAAACCUACUCUGUUGCUAAAAUCAAUUUUGCUAAUAUUUUCUAAAGGAUUUUUGCAUUCAUUUUGGUGAGAAAAAUCAUUCUAUCCUGUUUUUCGUUGUUAAUUUCUUUGCUAGGUUUUGGUAUUAAGGUUAUGCUGGCCUUAUAAAAUGAGUUGAUUCUCUACCUCCGCUGUUUUCUGAAACAGUUGGUAUAAUAUUGAUGUUUGUUCCCUAAACGUUUGAUAGAAUUCACUAGUGAAACCAGAUGGGUGUGGAGUUUCCCUGUGGGAUGGUUUCAUGUGAAUUCAGUUUCUUUAAAAGAAACAAUAAUCUGUUAAGAUUUUCCUUUUCGUCUGGUGUUAAGUUUUGAUAAGUUGUAUUUUUUAGAGAAAUUUGUCCAUUUCACCUAAAUUUUCAGUUUAUUGGUGUUUAUAAUAUUCACUUACCUUUUAUUUUAUUUAUUUUUGGGGGGGUUGCAAAUGGAGAUUUCCAGGCUAGUGGUCAAAUUGGAGCUGUAGCCUUUGGCUUAUGCGACAGUCACAUCAACACCAGAUCUGAGCUGCAUCUGUGACCCACACGACAGCUCACCACAAUGCCAGAUCCUUAUGGAUGCUAGUCAGAUUCAUAUCCACUGAGCCAUAACUGGAACUCCCUCACUUACCUUUUAAAUAUCUCUGGACUUUGUAGUGAUAGUCUCUCUUUCAUUCUUAGUAUUUGUGAUUUGUCUUUUCUUAAUUUGUUGAAGUAUAGUUGAUUUACAAUGUUGUGCCAAUUUCUGCUAUAUAGCAAAGUUACCCAGGCAUAUAUAUAUGUAUAUAUACAUACAUAUACCUUCCCUUUCUUAUGUUAUCUGUAUUUGUGAUUUGUGUUCUCUGACUAUUCAGGUAUCAGUUACUUAGUCUGUGUAGCACACCACCCCAAACUUCAUGCCUUAAAAGAACUAACCCAGGCUUGUUUACCUGGUGACUCAUCAUCGUCCUAGAGAGAAGGGAAGUAUGGACAUCCUCUUAAGGUCUAGGUAGAGUUCACAUGUGUUUUUUCCCCACAUUCUUUUGACCAAAGUAAGUCACAAGAACAACUCAGAGUUAUAAGGUGGAAAAACAGACCUACCACUCAUUCCAAACAGCUGUGGGGCAGGGGAGAAAUAGCACCAUUUUUGCAAUCUCCCACCUCUUAAGGUGUAUUAUUACAGAACAACUGUUGUGGAUUUGGCAAGUGUUGUGUAAAUAGUCUGGUUUUAACAAUAUUGUGAUACAAUAGUCUUUGUACAGCUUUCUGCAUUUUGUAGAACAUUAAGUUCUUUGAUGUCUCAUCAAAAGCAAUUCUUUUUCUCCCAUUAAUACUUCAGAAGAUUUUUGACUAUUGAUGUGUUUUUGUUUUAAAAGUCAGUAUGUAUUUGACUAUCUACACGACCCUAAACCUAUAGGGAUCAAGAUAUAUUUAUUUUUUUCUUUAUGGCCACACCCAUGGCAUAUGGAAGUUCCCAGGCCAGGAACUGAAUCUGAGCUGCAGCUGUGACCUGUGCCACAGCUGCAGCAGUGCUACAUCCUUUAACCCACUGUGCUGGGCUGGGGACAGAACCCGAGCUUCUGCAGUUGGAUUCUUAACCCACUACGCCAUAGUGGGAAUUCUACAAACUAUUUUUUGAUUCAUAAUAUUUUAGGAAUUCAAAAUGUGGCACUCGUAAAAAUUAUCAUGGAUGUGUUGACUUUGGGCUUAAAAAUAGCCCAGGUCUGAAAUAAUUCCCAUUUGUAGAUAAAUUUUAAGUAAAAUGAAAAGUAGUCAAUUUACCUAGCAUAUGUAAUAUAUUUCACUAGGUUUCUCAUCCUAUCUGUCAAUAGAGAAAUUCUUGGGCACAGAAAAUUUAAGUGGAGUUGGGAAUGGGAUAACAGAAAUACCAUUUAAUUAUAUCAAUCCCUAAGUAUAUAUUUCAGCCUAGCUGUUAAGUCAGACUUGUUUUACAUUUCCAGAAAUCUACCUCUAGGAAUUGAUUCUAUGUAACUCAUGCAAGUGUGAAGUCAUCUGGUGAUAAGUGGUCAUUUACAGCAUUGUUUCUCUCAUGGAAAAAUUGGAGGCAAUCUAAAUACCUGAUAGAGAUUGAUUUUUUUUUUAAUAGGGGGAUUUCCUGUUAUGGCUCAGCAGGUUAAGAACCUAGCAUAUUGUCUGUGAGGAUGUGGGUUCAAUUCCUGGGUUCAGCUCUGUGGGUUAAGGAUUUGAUGUUGCCAUGGCUGUGGUGUAGGCCUGCAGCUGCCGCUCUGAUUCGACCCUUAGCUUGGGAACUUCCAUGUG